AUCCAGCUGAUGCCAGUCCCAAAUAGGACGAAAUGCGCAUCCUGAUGGAU
rnacentral:hammerhead_ribozyme from 1 species